rnacentral:rRNA from 1 species
GAUGAACGCUGGCGGCGUGCUUAACACAUGCAAGUCGAACGGAAAGGCCAGUGCUUGCACUGGUACUCGAGUGGCGAACGGGUGAGUAACACGUGGGUGAUCUGCCCUGCACUUCGGGAUAAGCCUGGGAAACUGGGUCUAAUACCGGAUAGGACAAUGGUUUGGAUGCCGUUGUGGAAAGUUUUUUCGGUGUGGGAUGAGCUCGCGGCCUAUCAGCUUGUUGGUGGGGUAAUGGCCUACCAAGGCGUCGAAGGGUAGCCGGCCUGAGAGGGUGUACGGCCACAUUGGGACUGAGAUAAGGCCCAGACUCCUACGGGAGGCAGCAGUGGGGAAUAUUGCACAAUGGGCGCAAGCCUGAUGCAGCGACGCCGCGUGGGGGAUGACGGCCUUCGGGUUGUAAACUCCUUUCGCUAGGGACGAAGCGUAUUUGUGACGGUACCUGGAGAAGAGGCACCGGCUAACUACGUG